rfam:Rattus norvegicus chromosome 4, whole genome shotgun sequence.
GUUGGGUUAGCUCAGUGGUAGAGCACUUGCCUAGGAAGCACAAAGGCCCUGGGUUCGGUCCCCAGCUCCGAAA